CCUACGGGUGGCAGCAGUGAGGAAUAUUGGUCAAUGGGCGAGAGCCUGAACCAGCCAAGUCGCGUGAAGGAUGACGGCCCUACGGGUUGUAAACUUCUUUUGUCAGGGAGCAAUUGAGUCCACGUGUGGUCUUAGCGAGAGUACCUGAAGAAAAAGCAUCGGCUAACUCCGUGCCAGCAGCCGCGGUAAUACGGAGGAUUCGAGCGUUAUCCGGAUUUAUUGGGUUUAAAGGGAGCGUAGGUGGAUUGUUAAGUCAGUUGUGAAAGUUUGCGGCUCAACCGUAAGAUUGCAGUUGAAACUGGCAGUCUUGAGUACGGUAGAGGUGGGCGGAAUGCGUGGUGUAGCGGUGAAAUGCUUAGAUAUCACGAAGAACUCCGAUUGCGAAGGCAGCUCACUGGACUGCAACUGACGCUGAGGCUCGAAAGUGUGGGUAUCGAACAGGAUUAGAUACCCUUGUAGUC
rnacentral:rRNA from 1 species